CCCACCCCCCCCCCUUUCCCCCCUCCCUCCCCUCCUUGCCCCCGCGCCCACCAGACUUGCCCUCCAAUAUAUAUCCCCUGCUAAGCUCUGCCCCCCCCCCCCCCGCGGCACCCCCCAUUUCCAACAGCGUAUAUUAAAGUUGUUGCAGUUCCCCCCCCCCCCCAGCCCCCCCUUGGGUUUGGAGGGCGGUCCACCCCCCGGUGAGUACUUCCAUAUCCAAGACCUUUCCUCUGCUUCCUCGCAAGAGGCAGCAGAAUAUUACUUUGAGUAAAUGAGAGUGUUCAAAGCAGGCGCACGCUUGAAUCUGUUAGCAUGGAAUAAUAGAAUAGGACGCAUGGUUCUAUUUUGUUGCUUUCUAGGACCAUCGUAAUGAUUAAUAGGGACGGUCGGGGGCAUCAGUAUUCAGUUGUCAGAGGUGAAAUUCUUGGAUUUACUGAAGACUAACUACUGCGAAAGCAUUUGCCAAGGACGUUUUCAUUAAUCAAGAACGAAAGUUAGGGGCUCGAAGAUGAUCUAGUUGUGGUUGGAAUUUAUAUGGCGG
rnacentral:rRNA from 1 species